rnacentral:rRNA from 1 species
GAUGAACGCUAGCGAUAGGCUUAACACAUGCAAGUCGAGGGGCAGCAUGGUCUUAGCUUGCUAAGACUGAUGGCGACCGGCGCACGGGUGCGUAACGCGUAUGCAACUUGCCUCACAGAGGGGGAUAACCCGUCGAAAGACGGACUAAUACCGCGUACACUUGGGAUAGGGCAUCCUAUCCCAAGGAAAUGAAAUUCGCUGUGAGAUAGGCAUGCGUCCCAUUAGCUAGUUGGUGAGGUAACGGCUCACCAAGGCGACGAUGGGUAGGGGAACUGAGAGGUUGAACCCCCACACUGGUACUGAGACACGGACCAGACUCCUACGGGAGGCAGCAGUGAGGAAUAUUGGUCAAUGGGCGAGAGCCUGAACCAGCCAAGUCGCGUGAAGGAUGACUGUCUUAUGGAUUGUAAACUUCUUUUAUACGGGAAUAACAAGAGUCAC